UUAUACGGCGAAACUGCGAAUGGCUCAUUAUAUAAGUUAUCGUUUAUUUGAUAGCACCUUACUACUUGGAUAACCGUGGUAAUUCUAGAGCUAAUACAUGCUAAAAAUCCCGACUUCGGAAGGGAUGUAUUUAUUAGAUUAAAAACCAAUGCCCUCUGGGCUCUCUGGUGAUUCAUGAUAACUUCUCGAAUCGCAUGGCCUUGCGCCGGCGAUGGUUCAUUCAAAUUUCUUCCCUAUCAACUUUCGAUGUUUGGGUAGUGGCCAAACAUGGUUGCAACGGGUAACGGAGGGUUAGGGCUCGACCCCGGAGAAGGAGCCUGAGAAACGGCUACUACAUCCAAGGAAGGCAGCAGGCGCGCAAAUUACCCAAUCCCGACACGGGGAGGUAGAGACAAUCAAUACUGAUAAAGGGCUCUUUUGGGUCUUGUAAUUGGAAUGAGUACAAUUUAAAUCCCUUAACGAGGAACAAUUGGAGGGCAAGUCUGGUGCCAGCAGCCGCGGUAAUUCCAGCUCCAAUAGCGUAUAUUAAAGUUGUUGUGGUUAAAAAGCUCGUAGUUGAACCUUGGGCCUGGCUGGCCGGUCCGCCUCACCGCGUGCACUGGUCCGGCCGGGCCUUUCCCUCUGUGGAACCCCAUGCCCUUCACUGGGUGUGGCGGGGAAACAGGACUUUUACUUUGAAAAAAUUAGAGUGCUCCAGGCAGGCCUAUGCUCGAAUACAUUAGCAUGGAAUAAUGAAAUAGGACGUGCGGUUCUAUUUUGUUGGUUUCUAGGACCGCCGUAAUGAUUAAUAGGGACAGUCGGGGGCAUCAGUAUUCAAUUGUCAGAGGUGAAAUUCUUGGAUUUAUUGAAGACUAACUACUGCGAAAGCAUUUGCCAAGGAUGUUUUCAUUAAUCAGGAACGAAAGUUAGGGGAUCGAAGACGAUCAGAUACCGUCGUAGUCUUAA
rnacentral:rRNA from 1 species